CAAGAAUUAGUUUAUAAAAAAAAUAUUAAUUUUGGAGAUUAAAGAUAAAAGUUUUAUUCUUGA
rnacentral:tRNA from 1 species